CGUCCCGCCGGCGACCGGCGCACGGGUGAGUAACACGUAUGCAACCUGGCCGCCACAGGGGGAUAACCCGCGGAAACGCGGCCUAAUACCCCGUGACGCCACCGGAGGGCAUCCUCCGGUGGCCAAAGGAGCGAUCCGGUGGCGGAUGGGCAUGCGGCGCAUUAGCUAGACGGCGGGGUGACGGCCCACCGUGGCGACGAUGCGUAGGGGUUCUGAGAGGAAGGCCCCCCACACUGGGACUGAGACACGGCCCAGACCCCUACGGGAGGCAGCAG
rnacentral:rRNA from 1 species